ACAUGCGAUUUAAUUCAUUUUAAUUUCUUAUACUUAAUAAUAAAAGGUUUACCGGUAUGUUUUAAAUCAUAUUUUAGGAUUGCACUUAAAUGAUAUCGCUGUUGAAUGAUAUUUCAUAUCUUUCACAUUUGUUAUAACUGGGCUGCGUACUGCCUGCGAAUUUGAACUUCAGAGCUGAAGGUGCGAGUGGAGAAAUAGUCCCAAUAUCAUAACAAUCUUAAAUAAAACUUCUAAAUAUACCCGUGUGUGUAAUACCCGUGUGCGUGCGUGUGUGCGCGCGCGCGUCCUCGCGCGUGUGCAUGUAUGUAUGUAUGUAUGGGCGUGCGUCUGUGUAUUUUGAAUUUAAAAUGUUUUAACUCGGAAGGAUCUGGAUCACAGGUCAUUUCAUAUGAGAUCAAUCCGCACGCAACAGCUGGAAUCACUUACUGUUUCACACAAGGAAGGACACAAGUCACCCGUUUCCUCAAGUUCACGUCAGAGGGAUACAUAGCGAGACAGUCUCCGCUUGGACUGGCUGAGGAAAGUCUCCUAAAUGGCCCUGGAGAUGUUCUGACUGACUUUGGAGGCUUUUUGGACUGUUUUAUGCCCUCUAUUUAAAGACUUAAUUCUGUAUGUUCAGUCUGUAUGAUAAGUGAAUAAGUGAAUAAAAAGCUUUUGUUUUUAUGUGA